CCUACGGGAGGCAGCAGUGAGGAAUUUUCCGCAAUGGGCGAAAGCCUGACGGAGCAAUACCGCGUGAGGGAUGAAGGAUUUUGGUCUGUAAACCUCUUUUCUCAAGAAAGAAGUUCUGACGGUACUUGAGGAAUAAGCAUCGGCUAGCUCCGUGCCAGCAGCCGCGGUAAUACGGGGGAUGCAAGCGUUAUCCGGAAUGAUUGGGCGUAAAGCGCCUGUAGGUUGUUUAUUAAGUCCGUUGUUAAAGCCUAGGGCUUAACCCUAGAAAAGCAAUGGAAACUAGUAGACUAGAGUAUGGCAGGGGUAGAGGGAAUUUCUAGUGUAGCGGUGAAAUGCGUAGAUAUUAGAAAGAACACCGGUGGCGAAAGCGCUCUACUGGACCAUUACUGACACUCAGAGGCGAAAGCUAGGGUAGCAAAGGGAUUAGAUACCCCUGUAGUCCUAGCCGUAAACGAUGGAUACUAGAUGUUGUGCAUUAUGUACAGUAUCGUAGCUAACGCGUUAAGUAUCCCGCCUGGGGAGUACGCUCGCAAGGGUGAAACUCAAAUGAAUUGACGGCUGAGANGCGAGCGACACGAGGAGAG
rnacentral:rRNA from 1 species